rnacentral:misc_RNA from 1 species
AUAUGUUUUUCAUGGACCCGAAUUAUAACCCGACUCGAAAGUAUUCGCGCUGCAACCCGAUUUGGGGGGAUAAAAAGUGAGAUUUAUGGUGGCAGCGGAGGGCACGAGUUGAUAGGCCCAGACCCAAAGCCCAACACUGAUCUCCUUGGGGGUGCUGGGGCCCCUGCGGUAUAGACCGGUGUAAAUAUUGUAAUAUUCUAUCUUUUGUUCGGUAGAGUUGUGAGAUAUUCAGA